rnacentral:rRNA from 1 species
GUAGCGAAAGUUACGCUAAUACCGCAUAUUCUGUGAGCAGGAAAGCAGGGGAUCGCAAGACCUUGCGCUGAUUGAGCGGCCGAUAUCAGAUUAGCUAGUUGGUGAGGUAAAGGCUCACCAAGGCGACGAUCUGUAGCGGGUCUGAGAGGAUGAUCCGCCACACUGGAACUGAGACACGGUCCAGACUCCUACGGGAGGCAGCAGUGGGGAAUUUUGGACAAUGGGGGCAACCCUGAUCCAGCCAUGCCGCGUGAGUGAAGAAGGCCUUCGGGUUGUAAAGCUCUUUCGGCCGGGAAGAAAUCGCAUGGGUUAAUACCCUGUGCGGAUGACGGUACCGGCAUAAGAAGCACCGGCUAACUACGUGCCAGCAGCCGCGGUAAUACGUAGGGUGCGAGCGUUAAUCGGAAUUACUGGGCGUAAAGCGUGCGCAGGCGGUUUUUUAAGACAGGCGUGAAAUCCCCGGGCUCAACCUGGGAACUGCGCUUGUGACUGGAAGGCUAGAGUAUGGCAGAGGGGGGUGGAAUUCCACGUGUAGCAGUGAAAUGCGUAGAGAUGUGGAGGAACACCAAUGGCGAAGGCAGCCCCCUGGGCCAAUACUGACGCUCAUGCACGAAAGCGUGGGUAGCAAACAGGAUUAGAUACCCUGGUAGUCCACGCCCUAAACGAUGUCAACUAGGUGUUGGGUGGGUAAAACCAUUUAGUACCGGAGCUAACGCGUGAAGUUGACCGCCUGGGGAGUACGGCCGCAAGGUUAAAACUCAAAGGAAUUGACGGGGACCCGCACAAGCGGUGGAUGAUGUGGAUUAAUUCGAUGCAACGCGAAAAACCUUACCUACCCUUGACAUGUCCAGGAGCCUGAAGAGAUUUGGGUGUGCCCGAAAGGGAACUGGAACACAGGUGCUGCAUGGCUGUCGUCAGCUCGUGUCGUGAGAUGUUGGGUUAAGUCCCGCAACGAGCGCAACCCUUGUCGUUAAUUGCCAUCAUUUAGUUGGGCACUUUAACGAGACUGCCGGUGACAAACCGGAGGAAGGUGGGGAUGACGUCAAGUCCUCAUGGCCCUUAUGGGUAGGGCUUCACACGUCAUACAAUGGUCGGUACAAAGGGUUGCCAAGCCGCGAGGUGGAGCCAAUCCCAGAAAGCCGAUCGUAGUCCGGAUCGCAGGCUGCAACUCGCCUGCGUGAAGUCGGAAUCGCUAGUAAUCGUGGAUCAGCAUGUCACGGUGAAUACGUUCCCGGGUCUUGUACACACCGCCCG